CCUACGGGCGGCAGCAGUGGGGAAUAUUGCACAAUGGGGGAAACCCUGAUGCAGCGACGCCGCGUGAGUGAAGAAGUAAUUCGGUAUGUAAAGCUCUAUCAGCAGGGAAGAAAAUGACAGUACCUGAGUAAGAAGCCACGGCUAACUACGUGCCAGCAGCGGCGGUAAUACGUAGGGGGCAAGCGUUAUCCGGAUUUACUGGGUGUAAAGGGAGCGUAGACGGCAGUGCAAGUCUGGAGUGAAAGGCGGGGGCUCAACCCCCGGACUGCUCUGGAUACUGUACGGCUGGAGUGCAGGAGAGGUAAGUGGGAUUCCUAGUGUAGCGGUGAAAUGCGUAGAUAUUAGGAGGAACACCAGUGGCGAAGGCGGCUUACUGGACUGUAACUGACGUUGAGGCUCGAAAGCGUGGGGAGCAAACAGGAGUAGAUACCCCUGUAGUC
rnacentral:rRNA from 1 species